rnacentral:rRNA from 1 species
AAGGGAGCUUGACUGCGAGACACACACGUCGAGCAGGUGCGAAAGCAGGGCAUAGUGAUCUUACGGUUUGCAUGUGGAAGCGCCGUGACUCAACGGAUAAAAGGUACCCCGGGGAUAACAGGCUCAUCUUCCCCAAGAGUCCAUAUCGACGGGAAGGUUUGGCACCUCGAUGUCGGCUCGUCGCAUCCUGGGGCUGAAGCAGGUCCCAAGGGUUGGGCUGUUCGCCCAUUAAAGCGGUACGCGAGCUGGGUUUAGAACGUCGUGAGACAGUUCGGUCCCUAUCCGUCGCAGCCGUAGGAGAUCUGAGGAAGGCUGUCCCUAGUACGAGAGGACCGGGACGGACGCAGCUCUCGUGUGCCAGUUGUCCUGCCAAGGGCACGGCUGGUUAGCGACCUGCGGAAACGGCUGGUUAGCGACCUGCGGAAGAGAUAAGCGCUGAAAGCAUCUAAGCGCGAAGCUCGUUCCGAGAUGAGAUCUCCCACAGGGCCAACCUGGUAAGGCCCGUGGCCAGAUGACCACGUUGAUAGGCCGGAGGUGUACGCACCGCAAGGUGUUCAGCCGACCGGUACUAAUCGGCCGAGGGCUUGGAACAA